rnacentral:rRNA from 1 species
GACGAACGCUGGCGGCGUGCUUAACACAUGCAAGUCGAACGGAAAGGCCCUGCUUUUGUGGGGUGCUCGAGUGGCGAACGGGUGAGUAACACGUGAGUAACCUGCCCUUGACUUUGGGAUAACUUCAGGAAACUUGGGCUAAUACCGGAUAGGAGCUCCUGCUGCAUGGUGGGGGUUGGAAAGUUUCGGCGGUUGGGGAUGGACUCGCGGCUUAUCAGCUUGUUGGUGGGGUAGUGGCUUACCAAGGCUUUGACGGGUAGCCGGCCUGAGAGGGUGACCGGCCACAUUGGGACUGAGAUGCGGCCCAGACUCCUACGGGAGGCAGAAGUGGGGAAUAUUGCACAAUGGGCGGAAGCCUGAUGCAGCAACGCCGCGUGCGGGAUGACGGCCUUCGGGUUGUAAACCGCUGUCGCCUGUGACGAAGCGUGAGUGACGGUAAUGGGUAAAGAAGCACCGGCUAACUACGUG